rnacentral:rRNA from 1 species
ACAAUGGAGAGUUUGAUCCUGGCUCAGGAUGAACGCUAGCGGCAGGCUUAAUACAUGCAAGUCGAGGGGCAGCACAGAUAGCAAUAUCGGGUGGCGACCGGCAAACGGGUGCGGAACACGUACACAACCUUCCUUUAAGCGGGGAAUAGCCCAGAGAAAUUUGGAUUAAUACCCCAUAGUAUAUUGGUCCGGCAUCGGAUUGAUAUUAAAGAUUUAUCACUUAAAGAUGGGUGUGCGUUCGAUUAGGUAGUUGGCGGGGUAACGGCCCACCAAGCCUUCGAUCGAUAGCUGAUGUGAGAGCAUGAUCAGCCACACGGGCACUGAGACACGGGCCCGACUCCUACGGGAGGCAGCAGUAAGGAAUAUUGGUCAAUGGACGAAAGUCUGAACCAGCCAUGCCGCGUGGAGGAUGAAGGUCCUCUGGAUUGUAAACUUCUUUUAUCUGGGACGAAACAUGGGUUUUCUAACUCACUUGACGGUACCAGAUGAAUAAGCACCGGCUAACUCCGUGCCAGCAGCCGCGGUAAUACGGAGGGUGCAAGCGUUAUCCGGAUUCACUGGGU